UGUUUGCACUUAGCGGAAAGGGUAAGAACCUUCGACUAAGGUUCGACUCGAGCGCCAGCGAGAGAACGUUGCCACAGGCAAUGGCGCCGAAGGGCGAGGAGCGAUAGCGACGAGUUAUCCUUCCCCCACCACCA
rnacentral:sRNA from 3 species